UACGGAGGGAGCUAGCGUUGUUCGGAAUUACUGGGCGUAAAGCGCACGUAGGCGGCUUUGUAAGUUAGAGGUGAAAGCCCGGAGCUCAACUCCGGAAUUGCCUUUAAGACUGCAUCGCUUGAAUCCGGGAGAGGUGAGUGGAAUUCCGAGUGUAGAGGUGAAAUUCGUAGAUAUUCGGAGGAACACCAGUGGCGAAGGCGGCUCACUGGACCGGUAUUGACGCUGAGGUGCGAAAGCGUGGGGAGCAAACAGG
rnacentral:rRNA from 1 species